UCAACCAGACUGUUCUACCUAUUUAUAAAUAGCAUCGUACCCAACUGAAAGGGAUGGUUCAACCAGACUGUUCUACCUAUUUAUAAAUAGCAUCGUACCCAACUGAAAGGGAUGGUUCCACCAGACUGUUCUACCUAUUUAUAAAUAGCAUCAUACCCAACUGAAAGGGAUGGUUCAACCAGACUGUUCUACCUAUUUAUAAAUAGCAUUGUGCCCAACUGAGGACCACAUGUACACAAGAAUUGGAAGUGGUUUUGUAAUGUGGGGCAAUGUGUUAUAUUGUAUUUCUGUCAGCAUUGCAAUGCUAAAUGUAAAUCAAGCUAUAUCAUAAACCUAUGUACCAUUUGAUUUAAAACAUUUAAUUUAAAACAUAACUGUACAUAUCAUGACACCUUUCAGAUUCAGUUGAUUAAAAGAGUUUCAUGUUUGCAUAAAAGUGAUAUAGAUUUUAUCCCAUAUGUUACUAUAGCCUAUAGGGGGGCAAAACUAAUGAAAUCUAUAGUGAGUUCCUAAUGUUUCCAUCUGUGCUGCAACACUGAAGGUGCUAAAGAUGAUGCCGUUGACAUAGUACCACGUAACACUUGACAAUAUGUGCAUUGUAUGUCCAAUUUAUCUGCCCACAGAGACUAAUUGUAUGUCCAAUUUAUCUGCCCACAGAGACUAAUUGUAUGUCCAAUUUAUCUGCCCACAGAGACUAAUUGUAUGUCCAAUUUAUCUACCCACAGAGACUAAUUGUAUGUCCAAUUUAUCUGCCCACAGAGACUAAUUGUAUGUCCAAUUUAUCUGCCCACAGAGACUAAUUGCAUAAUUCUAGCUCUAUGGUUGAGGCAGUCAUUCCACACUGCACUAAAUUGAAAGGAGAGGGACUCCUGUAAAAUUGCUCUUGAUUCAUAGAACCGCCAAAUCAAUAAAAGUGUAUUUUAUCUAAUUACACAUUAUAGCGAAGAUAUAUAUAUAUAUAUAUAUAUAUAUAUAUAUAUAUUUUUUUUUUAUCAACGCCUUGUCUCUGUGAAUGAGCCAAGCAUUAUUGCACUGAUUCAGAUUGAUACCAGUUAAUUGUUGUACAAUGCAUUAAAGAGCGCUUUAAUUAUAGACAGCAGACUCUGUCUUCUCUCUGCUGUCACUCUUAUCCUGCUCUGUCAUUUGUUCAUUAGGCCCUGCAGACCUGAUUAGUCAAUGGAUGCAUUGUAAUAACCCUGGCUCUUAAAGAGGGGUAGCUCCAACUCAAUGCAGUCAGGCUCCCACAUCAGAAGUUAUUGAUCCAAUAGACUGUAAUACCCCCCCCGAUCCAUAUCACAGUGUGCUUCUUAUCAGUGACACACAGGGAUGCUUGCCCUGCUCAGAUUUUCAAUAAAG
rnacentral:lncRNA from 1 species